UUCCUCGUAGUAUAGUGGGUCAGUAUCCCCGCCUGUCACGCGGCGAGACCGGGGGUUCAAUUCCCCGACGGGAGAA
rnacentral:tRNA from 1 species